rnacentral:rRNA from 1 species
AUUGAACGCUGGCGGCAUGCCUUACACAUGCAAGUCGAACGGUAACAGGUCUUCGGAUGCUGACGAGUGGCGAACGGGUGAGUAAUACAUCGGAACGUGCCUAGUAGUGGGGGAUAACUACUCGAAAGAGUGGCUAAUACCGCAUGAGAUCUACGGAUGAAAGCAGGGGAUCGCAAGACCUUGUGCUACUAGAGCGGCCGAUGGCAGAUUAGGUAGUUGGUGGGAUAAAAGCUUACCAAGCCGACGAUUUGUAGCUGGUCUGAGAGGACGACCAGCCACACUGGGACUGAGACACGGCCCAGACUCCUACGGGAGGCAGCAGUGGGGAAUUUUGGACAAUGGGCGAAAGCCUGAUCCAGCAAUGCCGCGUGCAGGAUGAAGGCCUUCGGGUUGUAAACUGCUUUUGUACGGAACGAAAAGCCCCGGGUUAAUACCCUGGGGUCAUGACGGUACCGUAAGAAUAAGCACCGGCUAACUACGUGCCAGCAGCCGCAGUAA